GGCGGUAGGCUUAACACAUGCAAGUCGAGCGGUAACAGACAUUUUGAUUUUGCUUGCAAAAUCUCGUGCUGACGAGCGGCGAACGGGUGAGUAACGCGUAGGAAUCUACCUAGUAGAAGGGGAUAGCCCGAGGAAACUCGGAUUAAUACCGUAUACGUCCUUAGGGAGAAAGAGGGCUUAGCUUUGAUGCUCUCGCUAUUAGAUGAGCCUGCGUAAGAUUAGCUUGUUGGUGAGGUAAAGGCUCACCAAGGCGACGAUCUUUAGCUGGUCUGAGAGGACGAUCAGCCACAUUGGGACUGAGACACGGCCCAGACUCCUACGGGAGGCAGCAGUGGGGAAUAUUGGACAAUGGGCGCAAGCCUGAUCCAGCCAUACCGCGUGUGUGAAGAAGGCCUUCGGGUUGUAAAGCACUUUAAGUAAGGAAGAAAAGAGUAUUGUUAAUACCAAUACUCCGUGACAUUACUUACAAAAUAAGGACCGG
rnacentral:rRNA from 1 species